rnacentral:lncRNA from 1 species
CUAAUUGGCCCUAAUUUAAUUUUACUCGAAAUGUUGGUUUAAUAGUAUAAUCUAACGGAUAAAAACAGCCAAAGGGUUAAAUUUAACGGCACAAAACUUAAUAGCAUCAAACGCUUGGUGCUAUCGAUAAUAUUCCAGCUGAACUCUAUAUAUAUACUAGUAAAAGAGCCCGCGCUUUGCAGCGGAUAAAAAUUAUAGGGAGUAAUUAAUUAUAAGAUAAUAUCAAAUAUUUUUUUUGUAUUCCUCACUUGUUACAGUCACAAAAGGUUACUUACUAUUAGUAGCAAGGAUGGAACCGACGAUGUCUUCGCCGGCAAUGAUGAUAGUGAAAAUAACGGCGAUCCCUUCAGUCGCGACGGAGGGGGGAUAUGGGCACGCAUUAGUAAGAGAUGGAGGAAGGGAGGAAGGCGACGGUGUAUAAAAAAAGAUGAGGGAGAGAGAAUUGAUGAAUUAAUUGGAAAUGAAAAAUCUGGCUGAGAAAAAGUUUGAUACUGAAAAUGUUUAGAUGUAUUAAUUACAUAUAUUAAUUGAAAGUUUCAUGAAGAGAAUGGGAAGAGUCAAAUACGAUGAAAGACAACUUGUUAUUGAAAGUUUGGUAAUGGUAAUAUUUAGAUGUAUUAAUUAAAUGUAUUAAUUAAAAGUUUGAUGAAGGGAAUAGAAAGGAUCAAAUAAUGGUGAGUGUGAAGAACAACUUGCUACAUGGCAAAAAACAUUCUUCACCUUGUUAUUGAAAGUUUGAUAAUGGUAACGUUUAAGAUGUAUUAAUUAAAUAUAUUAAUU